CACCAGGUUGAUUCUGCCUGACAUAGACACUGGUCUUUCAGACUAAGCCAUGCAUGACGAGCACACGGAAGGAAGCGUCAGAGAGCUCAGGGACGCAGUUUUGACCGGCUUGGAGAACAGGGGCGGACAUCCGAGGAAACCUUCGGCCAAGACGACGCAGGGCGGGGGGCAUCCACGGAGAAGCAGGACGCCAGAGCAGCGCAGGGCGCAGCCAAACGGGAGACUGUCCUAUUAGCUUGUGGGUGGGGUCAGGGCCUACCCAGGCGACGAUGGGUACGAGGGAUGAGGGUUUUGUCUCGGAGAACGGGUGUGAGAAGCAGCCCGUAGAUCCAAGGAUCGCAGCAGGCGCGGAACUUGCUCACUUCCCAGGGGGAGAAGCAGUGAGGAGACAUACGGAGAAAGAGCCCGCGACAAAAGAGCGGGCGAGAAGCAAUUGGAGGGCAAGACUGGUGCCAGCAGCCGCGGUAAUACCAGCUUCAAAAGUGUCUGUGGUGUGUGUUGUAUUUAAAAGGUCCGCAGUCGGGGGAGAUGGCCGUGGGGAAAGCAGGCUGUUCAAGGGGAGCGCGAUGCACGGAAGGAGCGAAGUCAAGAGGGGCGGAGCGAGGGCGGGAAGAUUUGGCAGCCAGAGGUGAAAUUCAAAGACUUGCCGAGGAUGGACAGAGGCGAAGGCGCCUGCCAGGGACGCUUUCAUUGAUCAGGGACGAAGGCCGGAGAAGCGAAGAUGAUUAGAGACCGUUGUAGUUCCGGCGGUAAACGAUGCCAACACGGGGGCGUGCGCGCGGGGGCGAGCAGGUGGCCGGAGAGAAAUCGAGUGCGAGGGCUAUAGGGGAAGUAUUGCCGCAAGGUUGGAACUUAAACGAAAUUGACGGAUUAACACACAAGGAGUGGGGCGUGCGGCUUAAUUAGACUCAACACUAGGCAGCUUACCAGCGGGGGAGCCCGGCGGGAUCGGCGCGAGAUUCGGGCGAGAGUGGUGCAUGGCCGCUGUUAAUUCGUGGACUGAUUUGUCUGGUUGAAUCCGAUAACGGAUGCGAUCCGCGUGUGCUUUGUGAUAAAAACAGCAGAGGACAGACGGCCGGCGGGCAGCCGGAGGAGGGCGGGCGAUAGCAGGUCUGUGAUGCCCUUGGAAGCGCUGGGCUGCACGCGCGUCACAGUGCGCGCAGGAAGGAGUGCCGAGAGGCGCAGGAGGAGCGGCGCGCAGGGGAUGCCCGUGCGGAACCGCGGGCUGAACACGGAAUUUCCAGUACCCGCGGGUCACCAGCCCGCGGAGACAGGGUCCCUGUUUUUUGUACACACCGCCCGUCGCUAUCUGAGAUGGGUGCGCGCGGCAAGCGCGGGGGCGCGUGAGCUGCUGUGCCUAGAUUGGAUAAAAGUCGUAACAAGGUUUCCGUAGGAGAACCUGCGGAAGGAUCAAUA
rfam:Nematocida parisii ERTm3 unplaced genomic scaffold supercont1.14, whole genome shotgun sequence.